UACGUAGGGUGCAAGCGUUAAUCGGAAUUACUGGGUGUAAAGCGUGCGCAGGCGGUUCGGAAAGAAAGAUGUGAAAUCCCAGGGCUUAACCUUGGAACUGCAUUUUUAACUGCCGGGCUAGAGUAUGUCAGAGGGGGGUAGAAUUCCACGUGUAGCAGUGAAAUGCGUAGAGAUGUGGAGGAAUACCGAUGGCGAAGGCAGCCCCCUGGGAUAAUACUGACGCUCAUGCACGAAAGCGUGGGGAGCAAACAGG
rnacentral:rRNA from 1 species